rnacentral:tRNA from 1 species
GCCGAAGUGGCGGAAUGGCAGACGCGACGGUCUCAAAAACCGUUGGCCGGCAACGGUCAUGUGGGUUCGACUCCCACCUUCGGCACCA